UACCAGCACCCCGAGUGGUCGGGACGUUUAUUGGGCCUAAAGCAUCCGUAGCCGGUUCUACAAGUCUUCCGUUAAAUCCACCUGCUUAACAGAUGGGCUGCGGAAGAUACUAUAGAGCUAGGAGGCGGGAGAGGCAAGCGGUACUCGAUGGGUAGGGGUAAAAUCCGUUGAUCCAUUGAAGACCACCAGUGGCGAAGGCGGCUUGCCAGAACGCGCUCGACGGGGAGGGAUGAAAGCUGGGGGAGCAAACCGG
rnacentral:rRNA from 1 species